GAUGAAGAACGUAGCGAAAUGCGAUAAGUAAUGCGAAUUGCAAAAUUCAGUGAAUCAUCGAAUCUUUGAACGCACAUUGCGCCCGCCAGUAUUCUGGCGGGCAUGCCUGUCUGAGCGUCGUUUCGACCCUCGCGCCCGGCUUCUGUCGGGGGCGGUGUUGGGGAUCGGCCACACCCUUCAGUGGGAGGCCGGCCCCUAAAUUCAGUGGCGACCACGCUGUAGCCUCCCCUGCGUAGUACUAAAACCACCUCGCAGGCGGAGAGCGGUGCGGCCCGCCGUAAAACCCCCCAACUUUUACAAGGUCGACCUCAGAUCAGGUAGGAAUACCCGCUGAACUUAAGCAUAUCAAUAAGCGGAGGA
rnacentral:misc_RNA from 1 species